rnacentral:rRNA from 1 species
AGAGUUUGAUUAUGGCUCAGGAUGAACGCUGGCGGCGUGCCUAAUACAUGCAAGUCGAGCGAACAGACGAGAAGCUCGCUCCUUUGACGUUAGCGGCGGACGGGUGAGUAACACGUGGGUAACCUACCUAUAAGACUGGGAUAACUUCGGGAAACCGGAGCUAAUGCCGGAUAAUAUUUCGAACCGCAUGGUUCGAUAGUGAAAGAUGGCUUUGCUAUCACUUAUAAAUGGACCUGCGCCGUAUUAGCUAGUUGGUAAGGUAACGGCUUACCAAGGCAACGAUACGUAGCCGACCUGAGAGGGUGAUCGGCCACACUGGAACUGAGACACGGUCCAGACUCCUACGGGAGGCAGCAGUAGGGAAUCUUCCGCAAUGGGCGAAAGCCUGACGGAGCAACGCCGCGUGAGUGAUGAAGGUCUUCGGAUCGUAAAACUCUGUUAUUAGGGAAGAACAAACGUGUAAGUAACUGUGCACGUCUUGACGGUACCUAAUCAGAAAGCCACGGCUAACUACGUGCCAGCAGCCGCGGUAAUACGUAGGUGGCAAGCGUUAUCCGGAAUUAUUGGGCGUAAAGCGCGCGUAGGCGGUUUUUUAAGUCUGAUGUGAAAGCCCACGGCUCAACCGUGGAGGGUCAUUGGAAACUGGAAAACUUGAGUGCAGAAGAGGAAAGUGGAAUUCCAUGUGUAGCGGUGAAAUGCGCAGAGAUAUGGAGGAACACCAGUGGCGAAGGCGACUCUCUCGUCUGUAACUGACGCUGAUGUGCGAAAGCGUGGGGAUCAAUCAGGACUAGAUACACUGGUAGUCCACGCCGUAAACGAUGAGUGCUAAGUGUUAGGGGGAUCUCCGCUCGCUUAGUGCUGCAGCUAACGCAUUAAAGCACUCCGCCUGAGGAGUACGACCGCAAGAUUGAAACUCAAAUGAAUUGACGGGG